UACACUACCCAACGCCAAUAAUUUUUUUUCAUGCUACCAUCACUAAUAUCUGCUUCAGUUUACAUUAUGAACUCUCACUUGUCUUGGGUUCCUAACAUCUGUGUAAAUGUAAUCUCUGGAUCUGCUUAACAUAGGGUUCAUGGAAGGAAAUUCUGUCCCCAUUGAAGUCACUGGGAGUUUUGCCUCUUACUUCAGGCUUUACAUCCCAUGUGUCCAGGCUUUGAGAUCUGGAAGAGGAAGAAUGGAGCUGACAUGGUUACUACUUUCAAAGGUUGAUGAGAGAGAGAAAGGAUUAAGGUUGGCACCAAGAAGGCCUCGCUGCUGAAGUCCUACAGUGCUCGCCUAUGGGACCUGACUGGCAAACAGUGCUUAUAAUCUUCGUAUUGUUGAAACCUUGGACAAAAGUACUCACUCCCUCUCUUGUUACAUGAGAUACAAUGUGGGUGAGAUAAUAUCUUUUAUUGGACAAGCUUCUCUUGUUACAUUGCUUUUUUAGCCGGUCAUGAGCCAAAUGUUCUUGUAUAUUUCUAUAGGUAUUGUUUAUCCAAGUAACAUAACAGACAGAAAGCUGAUAUAGUUUUAUGAGCUUCUUGUCAACUUCUGAUAUUAUCGUAAAGGUAUUUUAUCUGUCCCACUCUAUUUGGCCCUGGUGAGGCCUCAGUUGGAGUAUGGUGUCCAAUUCUGAAUGCCAUACUUUAAGAAAGAUGUGGACAGAUUGGAGAGAAUCCAGAGGAGAGCAAGAAAAAUGAU